rnacentral:rRNA from 1 species
GGAGUUAGCCGGUGCUUCUUCUGUGAGUGAUGUCCUUCCUGCCGGUUAUUGACCCGCAGGCCUUCUUCCUCACUGAAAGUGCUUUACAACCCGAAUGCCUUCUUCACACACGCGGCAUGGCUGGAUCAGGGUUGCCCCCAUUGUCCAAUAUUCCCCACUGCUGCCUCCCGUAGGAGUCUGGGCCGUGUCUCAGUCCCAGUGUGGCUGAUCAUCCUCUCAGACCAGCUACGGAUCGUCGCCUUGGUGAGCCGUUACCUCACCAACCAGCUAAUCCGACAUAGGCUCAUCCGAUAGCGCGAGGCCCGAAGGUCCCCCGCUUUCCCCCGUAGGGCGUAUGCGGUAUUAGCCUGGGUUUCCCCAGGUUAUCCCCCACUACCGGGCAGAUUCCUAUGCAUUACUCACCCGUCCGCCGCUCGCCACCAGGGAGCAAGCUCCCCGUGCUGCCGCUCGACUUGCAUGUGUUAGGCCUGCCGCCAGCGUUCAAUCUGAGCCAUAAUCAAACUCUGA